rnacentral:rRNA from 1 species
UACGUAGGGAGCAAGCGUUGUCCGGAUUCAUUGGGCGUAAAGAGCUCGUAGGCGGCUUGAUAAGUCGGAUGUGAAACCUCCAGGCUCAACCUGGAGUCGCCAUCCGAUACUGCCAUGGCUAGAGUCCGGUAGGGGCCCACGGAACUCCUGGUGUAGCGGUGAAAUGCGCAGAUAUCAGGAAGAACACCGAUGGCGAAGGCAGUGGGCUGGGCCGGUACUGACGCUGAGGAGCGAAAGCGUGGGGAGCGAACAGG